UGGGGAAUAUUGCACAAUGGGGGAAACCCUGAUGCAGCGACGCCGCGUGAACGAAGAAGGUAUUCGUAUCGUAAAGUUCUGUCCUAUGGGAAGAUAAUGACAGUACCAUAGAAGAAAGCUCCGGCUAAAUACGUGCCAGCAGCCGCGGUAAUACGUAUGGAGCGAGCGUUGUCCGGAAUUAUUGGGCGUAAAGGGUACGCAGGCGGUUUAAUAAGUCGAAUGUUAAAGAUCGGGGCUCAACCCCGUAAAGCAUUGGAAACUGAUAAACUUGAGUAGUGGAGAGGAAGGUGGAAUUCCUAGUGUAGUGGUGAAAUACGUAGAUAUUAGGAGGAAUACCAGUAGCGAAGGCGACUUUCUGGACACAAUCUGACGCUGAGGUACGAAAGCGUGGGGAGCAAACAGG
rnacentral:rRNA from 1 species